UGUACUACGACGGCUGUGCCAUGAUCGCCAUU
rnacentral:piRNA from 1 species